CAAAUCUCUUCCUCUUCAACUUAUCACUUGCCUUAUUCUUUCAUAUCAUUGUAGAAAGAAGGAAGACAAGUGGAGAGAUCUAGAGUUAUAAAUAAUAUAUAGAAAAAAAAACAACAACAAUUAGUAAUCAUGUCUAGCAGAAGAAGAUCAAAUAAUAAUUCAAGAUUCACUCAAGAUGAGAUUAAUGAUCUUGUUUUGAAAUUACAAUCUCUCUUGCCAAAUUCCUCUUCAAGGUGCACCACCACGGUAACAUCAUCAUCAAAGAUACUAGAAGAAACAUGUAAUUACAUAA